UUGAAGAGUUUGAUCAUGGCUCAGAUUGAACGCUGGCGGCAGGCCUAACACAUGCAAGUCGAACGGUAACAGAAAGCAGCUUGCUGCUUUGCUGACGAGUGGCGGACGGGUGAGUAAUGUCUGGGAAACUGCCUGAUGGAGGGGGAUAACUACUGGAAACGGUAGCUAAUACCGCAUAACGUCGCAAGACCAAAGAGGGGGACCUUCGGGCCUCUUGCCAUCGGAUGUGCCCAGAUGGGAUUAGCUUGUUGGUGGGGUAACGGCUCACCAAGGCGACGAUCCCUAGCUGGUCUGAGAGGAUGACCAGCCACACUGGAACUGAGACACGGUCCAGACUCCUACGGGAGGCAGCAGUGGGGAAUAUUGCACAAUGGGCGCAAGCCUGAUGCAGCCAUGCCGCGUGUAUGAAGAAGGCCUUCGGGUUGUAAAGUACUUUCAGCGGGGAGGAAGGGAGUAAAGUUAAUACCUUUGCUCAUUGACGUUACCCGCAGAAGAAGCACCGGCUAACUCCGUGCCAGCAGCCGCGGUAAUACGGAGGGUGCAAGCGUUAAUCGGAAUUACUGGGCGUAAAGCGCACGCAGGCGGUUUGUUAAGUCAGAUGUGAAAUCCCCGGGCUCAACCUGGGAACUGCAUCUGAUACUGGCAAGCUUGAGUCUCGUAGAGGGGGGUAGAAUUCCAGGUGUAGCGGUGAAAUGCGUAGAGAUCUGGAGGAAUACCGGUGGCGAAGGCGGCCCCCUGGACGAAGACUGACGCUCAGGUGCGAAAGCGUGGGGAGCAAACAGGAUUAGAUACCCUGGUAGUCCACGCCGUAAACGAUGUCGACUUGGAGGUUGUGCCCUUGAGGCGUGGCUUCCGGAGCUAACGCGUUAAGUCGACCGCCUGGGGAGUACGGCCGCAAGGUUAAAACUCAAAUGAAUUGACGGGGGCCCGCACAAGCGGUGGAGCAUGUGGUUUAAUUCGAUGCAACGCGAAGAACCUUACCUGGUCUUGACAUCCACGGAAGUUUUCAGAGAUGAGAAUGUGCCUUCGGGAACCGUGAGACAGGUGCUGCAUGGCUGUCGUCAGCUCGUGUUGUGAAAUGUUGGGUUAAGUCCCGCAACGAGCGCAACCCUUAUCCUUUGUUGCCAGCGGUCCGGCCGGGAACUCAAAGGAGACUGCCAGUGAUAAACUGGAGGAAGGUGGGGAUGACGUCAAGUCAUCAUGGCCCUUACGACCAGGGCUACACACGUGCUACAAUGGCGCAUACAAAGAGAAGCGACCUCGCGAGAGCAAGCGGACCUCAUAAAGUGCGUCGUAGUCCGGAUUGGAGUCUGCAACUCGACUCCAUGAAGUCGGAAUCGCUAGUAAUCGUGGAUCAGAAUGCCACGGUGAAUACGUUCCCGGGCCUUGUACACACCGCCCGUCACACCAUGGGAGUGGGUUGCAAAAGAAGUAGGUAGCUUAACCUUCGGGAGGGCGCUUACCACUUUGUGAUUCAUGACUGGGGUGAAGUCGUAACAAGGUAACCGUAGGGGAACCUGCGGUUGGAUCACCUCCUU
rnacentral:rRNA from 2 species